GAUGAACGCUGGCGGCGUGCCUAAUACAUGCAAGUCGAGCGAACGGACGAGAAGCUUGCUUCUCUGAUGUUAGCGGCGGACGGGUGAGUAACACGUGGAUAACCUACCUAUAAGACUGGGAUAACUUCGGGAAACCGGAGCUAAUACCGGAUGAUAUUUUGAGCCGCAUGGUUCAAAAGUGAAAGACGGUCUUGCUGUCACUUAUAGAUGGAUCCGCGCUGCAUUAGCUAGUUGGUAAGGUAACGGCUUACCAAGGCAACGAUGCAUAGCCGACCUGAGCGGGUGAUCGGCCACACUGGAACUGAGACACGGUCCAGACUCCUACGGGAGGCAGCAGUAGGGAAUCUUCCGCAAUGGGCGAAAGCCUGACGGAGCAACGCCGCGUGAGUGAUGAAGGUCUUCGGAUCGUAAAACUCUGUUAUUAGGGAAGAACAUAUGUGUAAGUAACUGUGCACAUCUUGACGGUACCUAAUCAGAAAGCCACGGCUAACUACGUG
rnacentral:rRNA from 1 species